rnacentral:rRNA from 1 species
UACGUAGGGUGCAAGCGUUAUCCGGAAUUAUUGGGCGUAAAGAGCUCGUAGGCGGUUUGUCGCGUCUGCUGUGAAAACUGGGGGCUCAACCCCCAGCCUGCAGUGGGUACGGGCAGACUAGAGUGCGGUAGGGGAGAUUGGAAUUCCUGGUGUAGCGGUGGAAUGCGCAGAUAUCAGGAGGAACACCGAUGGCGAAGGCAGAUCUCUGGGCCGUAACUGACGCUGAGGAGCGAAAGCGUGGGGAGCAAACAGG